UUAAAUGAUGAAAACUUCAGAUAAAAAAGCUGGAAUUACCGGCUGAAUAAAAAUGUUGAAAAAUAUCUGGACACACCUGAUA
rnacentral:snoRNA from 1 species